UCAUGUGUUGAACAUAUGUUGUAGCAAGAAUAAUGUCUUCAAAGAGGUUCUUCCUGAUUUGGGGGGUUCUCUUUCUUUGUGUGUUGAGUUUUUCUACCAAACCAUUAGCAAGGAACAUUCCUAAUGUUUCUGAAUUCUACUCAGGUGCAAAUGAAAUGGGUCCAAAUAAAAGAUUCCUUGGUCAAGAAAAUAAACGACCUCCGUGUAAGAGGGGAAUAGUGACUUAUGCUGUGAGGCAAGACGAUCCACGUUGCCACCACUAUUUAUGAUAUGUUGUUGAAAAAUAUGGAAUUCUCAUUAAAACAAUGAAUAUUAAUUGAUACUAUUUAUUUAUUGUUUUUGACAAAUUUAAGUGAUACUCAUAUACUAUUUAUGUUAUAUUCUAGUGUGUGCUUGUAUUUUAAUUAUUAUAAAUUUGUUAUAAUUUAAUUCCGACUA